rnacentral:rRNA from 1 species
AUUAGCUAGUUGGUAAGGUAACGGCUUACCAAGGCAACGAUACGUAGCCGACCUGAGAGGGUGAUCGGCCACACUGGAACUGAGACACGGUCCAGACUCCUACGGGAGGCAGCAGUAGGGAAUCUUCCGCAAUGGGCGAAAGCCUGACGGAGCAACGCCGCGUGAGUGAUGAAGGUCUUCGGAUCGUAAAACUCUGUUAUUAGGGAAGAACAAAUGUGUAAGUAACUAUGCACGUCUUGACGGUACCUAAUCAGAAAGCCACGGCUAACUACGUGCCAGCAGCCGCGGUAAUACGUAGGUGGCAAGCGUUAUCCGGAAUUAUUGGGCGUAAAGCGCGCGUAGGCGGUUUCUUAAGUCUGAUGUGAAAGCCCACGGCUCAACCGUGGAGGGUCAUUGGAAACUGGGAAACUUGAGUGCAGAAGAGGAAAGUGGAAUUCCAUGUGUAGCGGUGAAAUGCGCAGAGAUAUGGAGGAACACCAGUGGCGAAGGCGACUUUCUGGUCUGUAACUGACGCUGAUGUGCGAAAGCGUGGGGAUCAAACAGGAUUAGAUACCCUGGUAGUCCACGCCGUAAACGAUGAGUGCUAAGUGUUAGGGGGUUUCCC